AGUGAACGCUGGCGGUAGGCCUAACACAUGCAAGUCGAACGGCAGCACAGUAAGAGCUUGCUCUUACGGGUGUCGAGUGGCGGACGGGGGAGGAAUACAUCGGAAUCUACUUUUUCGUGGGGGAUAACGUAGGGAAACUUACGCUAAUACCGCAUACGACCUACGGGUGAAAGCAGGGGAUCUUCGGACCUUGCGCUAUUGAAUGAGCCGAUGUCGGAUUAGCUAGUUGGCGGGGUAAAGGCCCACCAAGGCGACGAUCCGUAGCUGGUCUGAGAGGAUGAUCAGCCACACUGGAACUGAGACACGGUCCAGACUCCUACGGGAGGCAGCAGUGGGGAAUAUUGGACAAUGGGGGAAAGCCUGAUCCAGCCAUACCGCGUGGGUGAAGAAGGCCUUCGGGUUGUAAAGCCCUUUUGUUGGGAAAGAAAAGCAGCAGGUUAAUCCCCCGCUGUUCUGACGGUACCCAAAGAAUAAGCACCGGCUAACUUCGUG
rnacentral:rRNA from 1 species